rnacentral:rRNA from 1 species
GACGAACGCUGGCGGCGUGCUUAACACAUGCAAGUCGAACGGAAAGGCCCUGCUUUUGUGGGGUGCUCGAGUGGCGAACGGGUGAGUAACACGUGAGUAACCUGCCCUUGACUUUGGGAUAACUUCAGGAAACUGGGGCUAAUACCGGAUAGGAGCUCCUGCUGAAUGGUGGGGGUUGGAAAGUUUCGGCGGUUGGGGAUGGACUCGCGGCUUAUCAGCUUGUUGGUGGGGUAGUGGCUUACCAAGGCUUUGACGGGUAGCCGGCCUGAGAGGGUGACCGGCCACAUUGGGACUGGGAGACGGCCCAGACUCCUACGGGAGGCAGCAGUGGAGAAUAUUGCACAAUGGGCGGAAGCCUGAUGCAGCAACGCCGCGUGCGGGAUGACGGCCUUCGGGUUGUAAACCGCUUUCGCCUGUGACGAAGCGUGAGUGACGGUAAUGGGUAAAGAAGCACCGGCUAACUACG